rnacentral:rRNA from 1 species
GGUGCUAAUACCGCAUAACCAUAGUUACCGCAUGGUAGCUAUGUAAAAGGUGGCUAUGCUACCGCUUUUGGAUGGGCCCGCGGCGCAUUAGCUAGUUGGUGGGGUAAAGGCUUACCAAGGCAAUGAUGCGUAGCCGAACUGAGAGGUUGAUCGGCCACAUUGGGACUGAGACACGGCCCAAACUCCUACGGGAGGCAGCAGUAGGGAAUCUUCCACAAUGGGCGAAAGCCUGAUGGAGCAACGCCGCGUGGGUGAAGAAGGUCUUCGGAUCGUAAAACCCUGUUGUUAGAGAAGAAAGUGCGUGAGAGUAACUGUUCACGUUUCGACGGUAUCUAACCAGAAAGCCACGGCUAACUACGUGCCAGCAGCCGCGGUAAUACGUAGGUGGCAAGCGUUAUCCGGAUUUAUUGGGCGUAAAGGGAACGCAGGCGGUCUUUUAAGUCUGAUGUGAAAGCCUUCGGCUUAACCGGAGUAGUGCAUUGGAAACUGGGAGACUUGAGUGCAGAAGAGGAGAGUGGAACUCCAUGUGUAGCGGUGAAAUGCGUAGAUAUAUGGAAGAACACCAGUGGCGAAAGCGGCUCUCUGGUCUGUAACUGACGCUGAGGUUCGAAAGCGUGGGUAGCAAACAGGAUUAGAUACCCUGGUAGUCCACGCCGUAAACGA